rnacentral:rRNA from 1 species
AGUGAACGCUGGCGGUAGGCCUAACACAUGCAAGUCGAACGGCAGCACAGUAAGAGCUUGCUCUUACGGGUGGCGAGUGGCGGACGGGUGAGGAAUACAUCGGAAUCUACUUUUUCGUGGGGAUAACGUAGGGAAACUUACGCUAAUACCGCAUACGACCUACGGGUGAAAGCAGGGGAUCUUCGGACCUUGCGCGAUUGAAUGAGCCGAUGUCGGAUUAGCUAGUUGGCGGGGUAAAGGCCCACCAAGGCGACGAUCCGUAGCUGGUCUGAGAGGAUGAUCAGCCACACUGGAACUGAGACACGGUCCAGACUCCUACGGGAGGCAGCAGUGGGGAAUAUUGGACAGUGGGCGCAAGCCUGAUCCAGCCAUACCGCGUGGGUGAAGAAGGCCUUCGGGUUGUAAAGCCCUUUUGUUGGGAAAGAAAAGCAGCAGGUUAAUACCCCGCUGUUCUGACGGUACCCAAAGAAUAAGCACCGGCUAACUUCGU